CGCGAUUCAAGUCACACGGUUAAGAGGGCGCACCUCCGCCGGAGUUUGUUCAGCUGCUUGCCUGAAAGGCUUCGCAAACAACUGCAGAUGCCGACAGGCAGCGAUGUUUGGAAAAAGAAAAAAAAGAAGAAAAAAAAGGCUGAGAGCACUCGAAUGUUUAACAGGUGUUUGGGACGAUUGAGCGGAAUGCAUAUUGAGUAACCGAGGGCCGCGGAAAACAGGCAUCCGUCAAACCCGGGUGCGGACAGAGGAGCGAGGAAGAUUUGCAGUGACUGACCCUCUGACGCCCUCUCCUAAGAGGUGUGGUCGUUCCCCGAGGGUUAAUGGAUUAAAUCCAUAGAUUUAGAUAUUUAACUCUCAGCAGUACGGCAACACAGUUUGAGCACUCACAGAAUAUUUUAACAGAGUAGAUUCAUUUAAUGGCAUUUGCUAGUUUCCUGUUUGGCUCCAUGAAGACAUAUUACGUCUACAAAUACAUUUCAACCCAUGCUUACUGCUUACUGUAUAUGGGUGCAACAGGGGGGGGGGGGUCAGUUUGGUUACUGUGUAGUGCCUUGGGACUUCUUCCAUUUGCCUGCAAACAGAGAUAAAUCUUUAGUUUGCUUUCUAGUUUCCUCAAUUACGAAGAUAACACAUGCGAGUUGUGGUCCAUGGACCCCGCAAGUAAAAAAUGCAUGAUUACGCCCAUUAACAUUUCUUCUGCCUGAGAAAGUGACAAUAAAAGGUCUUCAAAAGAGCUGGACUUGAACUCUGAAGCCACCUUCCUUUUUCAGUUUUUAAUGUCAGCUCGGUGAGCAGAACAUCUGUUCCUACAGCUUUGCAGUGUUUUUAAAUCCUCUCAAGACUAGAAGGAGUUGCCUGUCGGGUUGUUGUUGGAUGAAAGCUUUUGUCGGACAGCGCUUUGGCUCCCUCACUAGUACAUCCUGAUGCCAUGUUGUAAUAGCUUUAUCUAGCGCAGGCUUCUUUAAAUGACGCCUAAUUGGGGGUCUUCGCCGCACCCUUUCCUACUGUGGCUCCAUGAGGCAAUCAACCUGCCGCGUUAUCGCCACAUCUUAAUAAAAACUAAAAUGAUUGGACCACAACCCAGGACUUCCCAUAGAAAUAGGAAAAGGAGGGAGGAGGGAUGCGGUUAAAAGGCAACCGAAAAAAAACAAAACAAGAAAACAUCCUGACCUAAAACGACAUGUGUGAGUGGGCUUUCAAUACACAGGAUGUAGAGAGCGUUUGGUGGGUUCGGCAUGUCGGCGAAGUAGAAAAUGCAAGAAAAAAGAGAAAAUAAGUUGUCACGCAAGCGACGGAGUAGACCACACAGCAGGGAGGAGCUUCGUGUAUGUGCGAUAUGAUUAACGACUGCAGUGUUUAAAACAUUUACACGUUGCAAAAGUGUUUGGCAUCCAGCAGCAGGUUUCAGCUGUGUGAUGAACUCUUUCUGGGAAACAUUGGUUUAAAGGAGUUAAGUAAUUAUAUCCUAGAAUUUC